rnacentral:tRNA from 1 species
CAUUAUGAAGCUAACUUAGCAUUAACCUUUUAAGUUAAAGAUUAGGAGUGCAAGCCUCCUCAUAAUGAG